rnacentral:rRNA from 1 species
AACGAACGCUGGCGGCAUGCCUAACACAUGCAAGUCGAACGAGACCUUCGGGUCUAGUGGCGCACGGGUGCGUAACGCGUGGGAACCUGCCCUUAGGUUCGGAAUAACUCCCCGAAAGGGGUGCUAAUACCGGAUAAUGUCUUCGGACCAAAGAUUUAUCGCCUUUGGAUGGGCCCGCGUUGGAUUAGCUAGUUGGUAGGGUAAAAGCCUACCAAGGCGACGAUCCAUAGCUGGUCUGAGAGGAUGAUCAGCCACACUGGGACUGAGACACGGCCCAGACUCCUACGGGAGGCAGCAGUGGGGAAUAUUGGACAAUGGGCGAAAGCCUGAUCCAGCAAUGCCACGUGAGUGAUGAAGGCCUUAGGGUUGUAAAGCUCUUUUACCCGGGAUGAUAAUGACAGUACCGGGAGAAUAAGCUCCGGCUAACUCCGCG